AUUGAACGCUGGCGGCAGGCCUAACACAUGCAAGUCGAGCGAGCGGCGGACGGGUGAGUAAUGUCUGUGAAACUGCCUGAUGGAGGGGGGUAACUACAGGAAACGGUAGCUAAUACCCCAUACCCUCUGAUGUGCCCACAUGGGAUUAUCUAGUAGGUGGGGUAACGGCUCACCUAGGCGACGAUCCCCAGCUGGUCUGAGAGGAUGACCAGCAACACGGGAACGGAGACACGGUCCAGACUCCUACGGGAGGCAGCAGGGGGGAAUAUUGCACAAUGGGCGCAAGCCUGAUGCAGCCAUGCCGCGUGUGUGAAGAAGGCCUUCGGGUUGUAAAGCACUGUCAGUGGGGAGGCGUUACCCGCAGAAGAAGCACCGGCUAACUCCGUGCCAGCAGCCGCGGUAAUAC
rnacentral:rRNA from 1 species